rnacentral:rRNA from 1 species
AGUUUGAUCCUGGCUCCAGGAUGAACGCUAGCGGGAGGCCUAACACAUGCAAGUCGAACGGGAUUGAGAGCUUGCUCUCAUGAGAGUGGCGCACGGGUGAGUAACGCGUAUGCAACCUGCCUGUAACCAGAGGGAUAGCCCAUAGAAAUGUGGAUUAAUACCUCAUAGUCCCUGGAUGGUCGCAUGGCCGUUCAGGUAAAACUCCGGUGGUUACAGAUGGGCAUGCGUGACAUUAGCUAGUUGGUAAGGUAACGGCUUACCAAGGCAACGAUGUCUAGGGGUUCUGAGAGGAUGAUCCCCCACACUGGUACUGAGACACGGACCAGACUCCUACGGGAGGCAGCAGUGAGGAAUAUUGGUCAAUGGGCGCAAGCCUGAACCAGCCAUCCCGCGUGAAGGAUGAAGGUCCUAUGGAUUGUAAACUUCUUUUAUACAGGAAGAAAAAUCUCUACGUGUAGAGACUUGCCGGUACUGUAUGAAUAAGCAUCGGCUAACUCCGUGCCAGCAGCCGCGGUAAUACGGAGGAUGCAAGCGUUAUCCGGAUUCAUUGGGUUUAAAGGGUGCGUAGGCGGCUUUUUAAGUCAGUGGUGAAAUCCUGUCGCUCAACGAUAGAAUUGCCAUUGAUACUGAAAAGCUUGAGUUCAGUUGAGGUAAGCGGAAUGUGUAGUGUAGCGGUGAAAUGCUUAGAUAUUACACAGAACACCGAUUGCGAAGGCAGCUUACUAAACUGACACUGACGCUGAUGCACGAAAGCGUGGGGAUCGAACAGGAUUAGAUACCCUGGUAGUCCAAUCC